CCCGCGUUAGAUUAGGUAGUUGGUGGGGUAAUGGCCUACCAAGCCUACGAUCUAUAGCUGGUUUGAGAGGAUGAUCAGCCACACUGGGACUGAGACACGGUCCAGACUCCUACGGGAGGCAGCAGUGGGGAAUAUUGCACAAUGGGGGAAACCCUGAUGCAGCCAUGCCGCGUGUGUGAAGAAGGCCUUCGGGUUGUAAAGCACUUUCAGUUGUGAGGAAAAGUUAGUAGUUAAUACCUGCUAGCCGUGACGUUAACAACAGAAGAAGCACCGGCUAACUCCGUGCCAGCAGCCGCGGUAAUACGGAGGGUGCGAGCGUUAAUCGGAAUUACUGGGCGUAAAGCGCACGCAGGCGGUUUGUUAAGCUAGAUGUGAAAGCCCCGGGCUCAACCUGGGAUAGUCAUUUAGAACUGGCAGACUAGAGUCUUGGAGAGGGGAGUGGAAUUCCAGGUGUAGCGGUGAAAUGCGUAGAUAUCUGGAGGAACAUCAGUGGCGAAGGCGACUCCCUGGCCAAAGACUGACGCUCAUGUGCGAAAGUGUGGGUAGCGAACAGGAUUAGAUACCCUGGUAGUCCACACCGUAAACGCUGUCUACUAGCUGUUUGUGGCUUUAAGUCGUGAGUAGCGAAGCUAACCGCGCUAAGUAG
rnacentral:rRNA from 1 species